UGAUAAACCUUUACAACAUAGUCUCAAUUUGAAUUGCACCAGUCAGAGGAAACAUUUUUGUAAUGUAAUUAUUAUUUUAAAUGGAUAGUUUUGAAGUUACAGACCAUAUAAGCUGUGGAUCACUGCUGUUAAAAGUCUCCUCUUCUCUCUGCUGCCUCUCAGCUAGGGAUCUGGGACAUGGCUUUCCAUUCUGCCCAUACACGAAGCUGACACUGAUCUGGUUACUGCAAUGCCUCCCCUCUGCUGCUUCAUUUGCAUUUCACUAAUCCUAUUGGCUAAAUAUUGCCAGCCAAUCCCAUCAAAGAUAUGCAAAUGAAACAGGAUAAAGAAGCAUGCACAGAGCCAGUUAAGUGUGAUUUUUUAUUUGUUUGCCUGACAAGUCCCAGGCUGGGAAAUCCCCUACAGAGAACUGAGAGCACAGAAGAGAAAACUUUACGAGGGCUGAUCCAUGGCUUAUCAGUUAUUUUAGUCAUGCUGGGCUGGAGGUGACAACCACAGAAGAACCAUUAGCAGUGUCGGAGGCUUCAUGAAGGUUCUCAGGUCUGGGGGCAGCUUUGAGGGGGCUUUUGGAGAUCUCUGUUGAUACCUCUAUGAAUAAUUCCAAACAAAAUUAUGCAGUUUAACUACUCACCUUGCCAUCUCUCUCCAUUCUGCAUCUUCCCCUUCACGUAAGCAAAUCUCGUCCAGCUCAGUGAAGAGAUCAUGGGGAAUGUGUUCUUCAUCAUCAUCCUCUGUACCAAGGAUAAACUGGACCCUUUGAGAUGGUGUGUCUAAAAAAAGCAGAAGAAGGAAUGUCACACAGGUCAACAUUGACUUGGACAAGUGGUUCCAAAUCUUUUUCAUCAAGGCUCCAAUCAAUUCCUGGGUCUCAACCAUUCAAAGUUUACUGCUGGUAUUUGGGAUUACAGGUCCCGUCACUGCUGUUAAUUUCUUAGCAAAAAAAGGAAAGUGUUAGAGAGGGGAUGUGGGGAUGACAACUCAACUAAUUAAAAAGAAAGAAAUAUGUAGUGUGGAAAUACUGUUAAUCUUGCAGUAACUUUCAUCAGCUUUAGAUUUUUAAAGGGGCCCAAAGAAAUGUAUUGUUAACCUUACCUUUAGCACAAUAACAUUCUUUUAACUUGUUACUGUAAAAUAAGGGUUGCAAAAGAAACAUGAAGAAACAUGAUUCUUGUAAUAGGUGUUCUAUAGGGCAUGGUGCUUCACAUUACAGAAAUGCCUCUUAUAUGACCAACCAGAAGUUCCAAGCAUUCUAAUAGCUGUGUUUUAUUAGUGCUCUUCAUUUUAGUCCAUUUGAUUUAGAAUUUGUCAUAUCUUAUUUCUAAAGAGGCAUAAACAAAAUAUUUUUCACACUUGCCCCUAAAUGUUGCUAAAUUAUACCCCCUUUAUCCACUGAAAGCCAAAUAAUUCAAGCAGGAUUAUGUUAUAAAAGCACAAAAUGACUAUGAUCUUGCCAACUAAAAUAUUCCACGCAUCUGAUAAAUAGCCCAUCCAGCUCUGAUGAUAGCUUAUGCAACUGAACACCUUAUUUUUUUCUCUUACUUUGUCCCAUUAUCAGGUAUUACAUCUUCAAUAUUCUUCUGUUCCUUGCAUCAGAGAUUAUUAUGUAUUAUUGUUCUGAUUUAACAUGCCAGGCUUAAAAGCAACGUGACUAGCAGUUCUAAAAUCCUGAAAGCAGAAGUGAAGAAGCCAGAGAUGAGAGUAAGGACCAGCAAAAAGCAUGAGUGCUAUAAAAUAUAAAGCAUGCUUUUUUGCAAAAGAAAGGAAGAAAAAGAAAGAAAA